UUUAUAUGAGAGUUUGAUCCUGGCUCAGGAUGAACGCCGGCGGUGUGCCUAAUACAUGCAAGUCGUACGCACUGGCCCAACUAAUUGAUGGUGCUUGCACCUGAUUGACGAUGGAUCACCAGUGAGUGGCGGACGGGUGAGUAACACGUAGGUAACCUGCCCCGGAGCGGGGGAUAACAUUUGGAAACAGAUGCUAAUACCGCAUAACAACAAAAGCCGCAUGGCUUUUGUUUGAAAGAUGGCUUUGGCUAUCAC
rnacentral:rRNA from 1 species